UACGUAGGGGGCAAGCGUUGUCCGGAUUUACUGGGCGUAAAGAGCGUGUAGGCGGCCAGGCAGGUCUGGUGUGAAAACUGGAGGCUCAACUUCCAGACGUCGACAGAAACCGCUUGGCUAGAGUCCGGAAGAGGAGAGUGGAAUUCCUGGUGUAGCGGUGAAAUGCGCAGAUAUCAGGAAGAACACCGAUGGCGAAGGCAGCUCUCUGGGACGGUACUGACGCUGAGACGCGAAAGCGUGGGGAGCGAACAGG
rnacentral:rRNA from 1 species